ACUCAAAGGAAUAGACGGGGGACCGCACAAGCAGUGGAGUAUGUGGUUUAAUUCGACGCAACGCGAAGAACCUUACCAGGGCUUGACAUGUACAGGAAUAGUAUAGAGAUAUGCUAGCUCUUCGGAGCCUGUACACAGGUGGUGCAUGGUUGUCGUCAGCUCGUGUCGUGAGAUGUUGGGUUAAGUCCCGCAACGAGCGCAACCCCUAUGGUUAGUUGCCAGCAUGUAAUGAUGGGAACUCUAGCUAGACUGCCGAUGAUAAAUCGGAGGAAGGAGGGGACGAUGUCAAAUCAUCAUGCCCUAUAUGUCCUGGGCUACACACGUACUACAAUGGUCGUAACAGAGGGAAGCGAAGCAGCGAUGUGGAGCAAAACCCAAAAAGCGACCUCAGUUCGGAUUGAAGGCUGAAAUUCGCCUUCAUGAAGCUGGAAUUGCUAGUAAUGGCAGGUCAGCAUACUGCCGUGAAUACGUUCCCGGUCCUUGUACACACCGCCCGU
rnacentral:rRNA from 1 species